rnacentral:rRNA from 1 species
UACAGGGGGUGCAAACGUUGCUCGGAAUCAUUGGGCGUAAAGCGCACGUAGGCGGUUCGUUAUGUCGGAUGUGAAAGCCCUUGGCUUAACCGAGGAAGUGCAUCCGAAACUGGCGAGCUAGAGUACGAAAGAGGAUCGCGGAAUUCCCGGUGUAGAGGUGAAAUUCGUAGAUAUCGGGAGGAACACCGGUGGCGAAGGCGGCGACCUGGUCCGAUACUGACGCUGAGGCGCGAAAGCGUGGGGAGCAAACAGG